UACGUAGGGGGCGAGCGUUGUCCGGAUUUAUUGGGCGUAAAGAGCGUGUAGGCGGCCAAACAGGUCCGUUGUUGAAAACUGGAGGCUCAACCUCCAGGCGUCGACGGAAACCGUGUGGCUAGAGUCCGGAAGAGGAGAGUGGAAUUCCUGGUGUAGCGGUGAAAUGCGCAGAUAUCAGGAAGAACACCCGUGGCGAAGGCGGCUCUCUGGGACGGUACUGACGCUGAGACGCGAAAGCGUGGGGAGCGAACAGG
rnacentral:rRNA from 1 species